CCCACAUUCAGACAAAUUGCAGUCCAAAAAGAAACAUACUUCCAAGUCUAGUGGAAAGUACAAGCUCUCCAAUUUAAAUGUUAUUCUGCAAAGCAUGUUGCACUGAGGCAAGAAAAACAUUAAAUAAAACAGUUCAUAGUCUCCAUAGAUUAACAUAGAAACUACACUUUGGAGAAUCAAUUUAAUGUCCGCAGACACUAUGGAGUCCUCUC